AGCAGCCGCGGUAAUUCCAGCUCCAAUAGCGUAUAUUAAAGUUGUUGCAGUUAAAAAGCUCGUAGUUGAAUUUCGGGAUCAAUAUGUUGGUCGUGCCUUUGGUACGUACUAGCUUAUUGAUUUCUCCCUUCUGACGAACCAUGAUGUCAUUAAUUUGGUGUCAUGGGGAAUCAGGACUGUUACUUUGAAAAAAUUAGAGUGUUUAAAGCAGGCUUACGCUUGAAUAUAUUAGCGUGGAAUAAUGAAAUAGGACGUUUUGAUUCUAUUUUGUUGGUUUCUAGGAUCGACGUAAUGAUUAAUAGGGAUAGUUGGGGGCAUUAGUAUUCAAUUGUCAGAGGUGAAAUUCUUGGAUUUAUUGAAGACUAACCACUGCGAAAGCAUUUGCCAGGGAUGUUUUCAUUAAUCAAGAACGAAAGUUAGGGGAUCGAAGACGAUCAGAUACCGUCGUAGUCUUAACCAUAAACUAUGCCGACUAGGGAUCGGAUGAUGUUAAUUUUUAAUGUACUCAUU
rnacentral:rRNA from 1 species